rnacentral:rRNA from 1 species
UACGUAGGGGGCCAGCGUUGUCCGGACUUACUGGGCGUAAAGCGUGCGUAGGCGGUGGCCCAAGUCUGGUGUGAAAUCUCCCGGCUUAACUGGGAGGGUGCGCCGGAAACUGGGUUGCUGGAGUACCGGAGAGGCAAGCGGAAUUCCUGGUGUAGCGGUGAAAUGCGUAGAUAUCAGGAGGAACACCCGUGGUGUAGACGGCUUGCUGGACGGUCACUGACGCUGAGGCACGAAAGCGUGGGGAGCAAACAGG